GUGUUUGAAUCUGUGGUCCCUGCCACCGUCCUUCCCAGCCAGGGCAACAUGAACACUACACGGCCAUCUUUGGUCUUGGGAACAAUUAGUCCCAUGCCUUCAGGAGAAUAAUAAUCAGGAAGAAUAAUGUGCACACCACUACUCGGACAGAUCAUAGGGGCUGCAGCUUUGUCAGCCAUUCUCCUAACAGGGUCACAAAAUGGUCCAGCAGCAUUUAUAACGACUUUCGCAUAUGUAUCAAACUCUUUGCCUGA
rnacentral:misc_RNA from 1 species